UAUCUACCCUGCCUGUUCCUCUGUGUGUGUCAUAUUCCUUCUUUAGUGCUCUUUCUCUCCGUGGCCCCUCCCCGUGGGAAAGCUGGCCUCGUGUGAUUGUGGUGGCCCAUACUGGAAGCUGUGGUUGCAGCACUGACUCUACUGGUGCCAAAAGAAUCGAGGACUAUUUCCACACCCUGUAUGGAGAGUGGUUGGCAGAGGCACUGAGAGGGCACACAGUGUUCCUGGUUUCCUCUUGCUGUUGCAGGAUCAGGGCCAGCAGCCACCGUUUUUUCACUGUCUGAGUGGCCGCUGUACCGCAGUGUUCUCUUCUCAUCAACCUCUCUGGAGACAGCUAGAAAAAACAGACGCUCUAAAUGGCACCUUGCUUUAGAGUCUAUAGCACCCAGAGGAGUCUUUCAGAUAAGAGUCAGUUUAGUAUGACUGUCAUAAACUCCAAACUUCUCCGUAAUGCUGAUUCAGAACGCCCCGAUUUCUGUGCCCCAGGCCUGUGCGGACUUACUGGAGGUACC